GGGGCUGUAGCUCAGCUGGGAGAGCGCAUCGCUGGCAGCGAUGAGGUCAGGGGUUCGAUCCCCCUCAGCUCCACCA
rnacentral:tRNA from 4 species